CAGGUCAUCCCGAGUGUUCAUCAAAACUGUCUGAUGAUUCUGCUGCAGAUGAUGAUAAACGGAAGAACUAUGGAGGCGUUUAUGUGGGGCUACCUACAGAUCUAAGCAACAUUCCUACAGUGCAGAUUGGAUCUCUCCGAGAGAGUGAGCGAGACUCAGCAUCCCUCAGGAAGCCACUAUGGGGAAAUGGACUCUAAUUUUAAUGAACCAGAUGUCUGGAGGAAAUGGUAAUUGCAUAAAACAAGACACCUGUGAAGCCUCAAAUGAGAAGCACCCUGCUCCCACUGGAGUCAAUCUUCUCCCCUGCAAAGAUUGUGAUGAGAUCACUUAGCCUUUGCCUAACCUGCUGUGGAGCCU